rnacentral:rRNA from 1 species
UACAGAGGUCCCAAGCGUUGUUCGGAUUCACUGGGCGUAAAGGGUGCGUAGGUGGUGGGGUAAGUCGGAUGUGAAAGCUCGGAGCUCAACUCCGAAAUGGCAUUGGAAACUACCCUGCUAGAGGAUUGGAGGGGGGACUGGAAUACUUGGUGUAGCAGUGAAAUGCGUAGAUAUUGGGAGGAACACCAGUGGCGAAGGCGGCUACCUGGACCGGUUCUGACGCUGAGGCGCGAAAGCGUGGGGAGCAAACAGG